GUAAGGCAGCAGACGGUAACGUGUCUCCAGCGCCUCGCGGGAGGCCUUUGUCACGUUGUCACCCAGAGCUGCUGGAUCUUGUUCCUAUUAACAGAAGGAAAACACGUGAAAGGAAGUCACAUCAUCUGAAGACAUACCUAUGAUUGAAUUCCGCAUGGACAACCAGGAACUGUCAUUGUCGCCUAACCAGUGACCUCCAUAUCUGCCACUUCCUGGAAAUGUGGACCGAGUUAUCACCAGACCACGUUCAGCUGUAGCCUCGCGGAUAGCACUGGGAAGCAAUCAUGAUAUAGAGAAAUUAAUGUAAACUCUCUCUCUCUCUCUCUCUCAUUAUGAAUUUGUGGUAGUAUCAAAGC